rnacentral:lncRNA from 1 species
CCACAGACUCCUCGUGUGCUCUCUCUUCGCUGGUGAUCCUCAGUGCAGGUGUCAACGUGGCAUGGCAGGUAUUUGAAAUUAUCCAAAGUCAGAGGCUUACAGGGCCAAUGUGAUGGGAGUGAUGAAUCUGGGAGCAUGGUCAGUGGAUGAUUGAAAUGAUGGACCACAGAAACCAAGAUUGAAAGAAAGGAAUAGGAAGAGAGAAAGAAGAGAGCCUUGUGAAGAUAUUCAUACUGGAGUAAACUGUUUUCUUGAAGGUUGGUUAUUUACAUUAGGGUUCUUUGUGUAAAAACAGGAACUGUGGAAAUUUGUGGUAGGAAUGUGCUGUUUGAGUUCCUGAUUUGUGAGCAGGAGAAUUUGGGGUUAAGACAGGAUUUUGCUGUGGAGUGAGGGUGUCUAAGGGUGGAAUAGUGCGUGAUUUCAUUAGAGAUGGCACUCUAAAAGGAGCUACGGGGCCCUUGGAUCACUGAGUCCUAAUGAUAGUGGGUUACUUGGUACCAGAAUGUGUGUAGUUGACAAUGACGGAGAAGGGGAGAGAGUAACAUCCUGAAGCAAGAUGGAGGAGGGAGGUUUGUCUGGAUUUGACAUUGGAUAAUGACCUUGAACUUUCUGUCCUUGUCUCACAUGGGCUUGAUGAUGUCCCAGAAUCCCAUUCUCAACAUGUGGUACCUAUACUAGCAGCAUCAAUGUCACCUGGGAACAUCUUAGAAAUGAACAUUCUCCAUUCCCACCCCAGAUUGACUUGAGUUGAGGUCCAGCAAUCUGAGUUUUAAAAACCCUCCAGAUGGUUGUGAUUCACAUUUGAGACACAUUCUCCAGGGAGGGAAGGAGGGUGGAAUAGCCAAAUGAGCUGAGAACAUUCUCCAUGGAUGGUAGUCUUCAUCCCCCAUUUUGUUCAAAUUUCACAUUUUAUUUUUAAAGAGAAAGUUCAAAAAAUAUGCCCCAAUUUCAUGGUGGAAACAAUGAGACAACAAAACUAAAACCAAGCAGAAACCUGCAGCUCUGUACACACUGAAGGCUGAGCAGCUGCAUAUUCCAGAGGCCAGGUAGUCGGAUAACUUCCCAUCCUGGCCGUGAGGUCAGGGGCCGUCAGUGGGAGGAGACCUUGGAGAAGCCCCGGUGAGUCUGUGGAGAGGAGAGACUGCAGGGCCUCAAGGCUGGCAGCAGCGAAGGAGAACUUUUAAGUCCUUCUGAUUCACAAAUAUCUUAAAGAUAAUUGCACCAGGUGGUCUAGGUGAAUCCCUGGGCCAUGGCUUGAGCUGAGGGAUCUGCACACCAACCCUAGCCCACUCCUGACCAGUGUCCGUAUUGGGCAGAGAUGAGUCCAGGAACGGGUCUGGGUCUCUCCCAGCCCCUCUGCAGGCAACAGGCAACAGGCAACUUCUGGAGAUAUUAGGAGACAGAUGUUGCAAGUGAAGAAAAGCAUGGGAAAGACUGACUGUUGGCUUGAGAACAGAGGAGUUUGCCAGGGAGGCAGAGAGAGCAAGAGCCAAGAAAGGCACCUGAAAACACCGUGAGGAAAGCGAUAUUGGUGCUGAAGGAAAGGAGAGUGGUGCAGUGAGAAAUCCACCAGGAGACAGCCUUGACCCCCACAGCAUCUCUUUGUAACAUCCAUCAUGAUCCUUACCUUUCAUGGGUAACCUCGAUUUUUAUUUACCAUGAUUUUUCUUCCUGUUUAUAUUAAAAUCAAUAGGAUAAUUGAGGCUGAGGAAUUAGUGUUUUGAACUUACAUUUGUUUUUUCUACACUCAAUGAACAGAUAAUACCUACUCAAUGAGAUUUAUCUCUUAAUGUGAUAUGAAAUCUGAUUUCAUAAAUUAUGAUUUUGCAUCUAAUUUUAACAAAAUCCUUCAGCCUUUGUCACAUGUUAAUUCAGACAUAGGUAAUUUCUAUAUCAUAAAUUAAGUACCUCUGAUUUGUUCCAUGGCAAACUUGUCUAGCUUUGAUUUUGGAAUCUUAACAAUGACCAUGCCCCGUGGGGCAUUAUUUUCCACGUAGAGAAUCUUGGCAGCCGGCUCAGUGCCUUCAUUCCCACACUAGAUCUGGAGAUGUGGAAAUGCAUUCACCUUGCUCGCAGUACAGAGCACAUAGUACUUAUUCAAUAAACAUGAGAUAAAUGAAUAAUCAGUGGCAUCAUCAGGUCAUUCACAGAAGCCAGACAGACAGAGCUUCCCCAGGUCGGGAAGAAGAAGCAUUUCUUCAUAUUUGCAAUGUUUUCAUUUUUAACAUUGUAAUGUGAACAGUGAUUAUACUAUUUUUAUGAAACUUGUCUUCUGAAAGUUUUCAAAAAUCUCCAAAUCUCAGAGUAGGGAAAAUCAACCUCUGUGAACCUGUCACUUGCAUCAGAGAUUGUCAACUCAUAAACCAUCUGGCUUUAUCUUUACACCCACCCCCUGGAAUUAGCCAGCUGUAGAUGCCGAGAGCACAUCAUUUCAGGUGUAAAUAUAUCAGUUUCUCUUACAGAUGAGAGAUUUUUGGGACUCAAACACAACAAAGUUAUCACACACAAAAGUAAAAAUGUCACUCCUAUAAUCAACUACCUAGUCAGCCUCCAAAGUCUCCCAGUUUUCUCCAGGUUGUUUCUUGGUUUUACAUUUUAUUUGAGUCAGGAUCUUAAUGAAACCCUUCGUUUGCAAUUGGUUGAUCUGUUUCUGAAGUCACUUUUCAUCUCUGAAGUUCAUGCAUCUUGGGCUUUGGGUGGGAUAUGCGUGUGUGUGUUUAUGUGUCUACACCAAUAUGUGAAUUAUUUCUUUCCUGGAUGGCUGUGCCCUGUCAGGAAGGGCCUGGGCUGCCGGAAGCGGGAUUUAUACUCGGCUUGUGGCUGAACUGAAAGGGCCUCCCAGGGUGACACUUGCAGCCUUCAGCGAGGAGGAGGAAGAACUACCAAGGAAUUCAUGUGGCCCUUGUCUUACAGUGUUUCAGGGGAUGACGUUCAAAAUGCCAGGUGAUAACCCUGUAGCUCCUGGUCAUGAGGCGGGUUCUCAGGGUGAGCUCAUAUCUUCACUACCCAGAUGGGAAGCGUUUCAGUAUUUGAAUUGGUAAGGUUGUUGUGUGUAGGCCCAUGUUCAUCAGUUUGGUGGCAUUCCCCUGCUAGACCCAUCUCUAUACUGGCACCUCUCAUGCCUUAUCUUUCAAAACUCCCAACAGGAAAGUUUCACAUCCCCAUAACACAUAACCACAUAACCACAGCACAAGACUGGGGAAAAGAACACAGCCAUCCUGGGGGCUAGAAGCUCUAUAGGAUUGAGCCCAGAUGACCCUUUAGGUCAAGCUGGUAACAAUAAGACUGAGCGUGUAAACUAUUGUUUGUCCGAGAGCAUGAACCUCAGAACCACAUGGGACCCUGGGCAGCAAGGGAGAGUGUGGGUCAUGCACUGCCCAGGAUUAAGGUCCGUUAUCCUGGGCAAACCAGAGCUCACGGCUGAUCCAUCAGGCCUGGCUAGGUAGGAAUGGCCACGAUGUUCCUGACAGAGAGGCUGGGGCCUUAGGGAAUUUCUGCCCAAAAAGAAUUGUAGAAGGAAGUGCAGGGAUGCUGGAAAUCUAGUUCACAGGGAGCAGUGACGCUUAUGCAACAAAGCCCUGUUGUAGCUUUAAAAGCUGCAUCACAAAUCUUUCCCUCUGGAUAGGAAACAAGCAGGAAAAGGACCUGCAAGUUCAUGGACCAGGAUCCCGGGAGGAGUCCAAUCCAGUCAGGAAGGUCCACGAAGAAUCUAUUGGAUCCCCUGAUACUCUCAUUGCCAUCUGGGGCAUGUGCCCUGCCAACAAGGCAGCAGGACCUGACGUUCAGGGACACUGAUUCCUGAAGCAGAAGCCCCCGGCCUAAGUUUCCAGAGAGACUCAGAGUCCGCCAGCCAGGUGAGUCUCUGUCACCAGGGUUUGCUGUCUCCCAGGUGGUGCCAGCUUACUGAGGGGGCAAUGCCAGCACUAUGGGGGGUGUCUGGUCUUCCAAGGUGAUGCUCACAUGAAGAGAGGCCUACCCACCUGGAAACGUGUCCCCAUGUCUUUUUGAGCCGAUGGAUCGUGCAGCUCUGCAGAGCAGAGAGGAUGGCAUGCAGUGAAGCAAAGUUCCUCAGGCCUUGGCACUCCUGGGGCAGGGAAGAGAGUGAGCUGGUGAGGAGAGCUGGAGCCCUGCUGCCUCUGGCUUCUGUUCCCUCAUGGACAUCUCCUGUCUUGGAUGAGACGCAUGCUGAGGAACCCAGUGAGGGCACCCCUGGGACCUGAUGAGUAGCAUUCCCAGGUUGGAGAAUUUGAGCUCAACCCAAGGAGGGAGCCCAGGAAGAAGUGAGCUUCCCACGCUGGGAACAGGAGUCAAGGUCAGUGAGGCCCCGGCAGGAGGGGCCUGGGGACUGUGCAAGGGCUCAGAGCACAGACUUCAAUCCUGAGAGCUGAGGAAGGAGAAGGGGCAGUUUCCAUGACUCCAGAGAGGGGCUCCCUGGGCCGCCCAGAAGGUACCUUGGACACCUGGAUCCAGAGCUCCACCACCCUGGCCCUGUCCUGGGCUGUCAUGCUCAGGUCCCCCAGGCAGGUGGUGACAACACAGUUGACCACUGUGAUAAACUGGGUGAUGGUGGCACGGAUGGUGCAUGCCAGGUGCUCAUUGCCCCUGCUGUCCCAUGGGGACCAGACGGAGUCCAGACAGUGGGGGGGAUCACUUUCUUGAACAGCUCCUGGGGAGGAAGAGAGUGUCACCCAGCCCUGUCACAUGCCUGCUCCAUGUCCACAGUCCACAGUCCCAGGCAGAGUCAGUGGUCAGAGCUGGAGCUCAGGAAGCUGAGGAUGUGGCCUGGGGCUUGUGGGGGUCCCUGGGUUUUGUCUGUGCCCACUGAGGGCACCCAGCACAGGAUGACCCAGGACCAAUAGUGCGGGGAAGGAAAGUGGCAUUCGCUCCCAGCCCAGUCUCACUACUCCAGGCACCAGAACCCCGCUGAUACUUGACGAACGCAAGGGGCAUCGUCUACCUUUUCUGAUCACCCUGGGGCCCGACUCCUCAUUCAGAUGUGCAGUCCUCCCAAGGAGUAACAAUCACAAUCUUUGUAUGUUUGUCUCCCAGGUAGUCAUUACAUAUGAGGUCCCUAAUAAUUGCUAAGGCUGUUGAUGCCUCCUGUGCAAAUGGAUGACCCACCCAAGGACCUGACAGCCCUUCAGUGACCUCCCCUUCCCCCGCCAAAGGGCCAGACUCUGCCCACCUUCCUCUCUGUUCCGCCUCAUUCGUCUGCACAGCCGCUAUGCCUGGCAGAUGCUCUUUUGUCCAUGUCUAGUGUCCACAUGCGGACAGCACAGGCUUGGGAGUUAAGAGGUUGCCCAGGGCACAUGUGUGUAAGUGGGAAAGCUGGGAUUGAAUGUAGGACAUGGGAUUCUGGAUCAGGAAACAGCAGGUCUUGGGCCUCUGAUGGCACAGGGAAGGCCCGCCCCACCUGCCCUGAGAGCCCUGCUGCUCACCGCAUCCAUCAGUGUAAAUUGCUCUGCAAUCAGCUGGGGACGGAACUCCAGGAAGUCAGGCUUCUCCUCCCACAGCAGGCUCUUGGUGGUCACAGCCCGGGGGCAGGUGGGCUCUUGGGCUGGAUGGGCUCUGAUGUAAUCUCUCCAGAUGGAGGAAGUGUUCUCCCUGGAGACAAGGGUCCAGCGGGCUCCAGCUGGAUCUGGCACUGGGGCUGGAGCUGUUGUUGGCAUGGCUCUGGCCCUGGGGGGACUGAUGGAGGUGACACUUGCUCCAGCUCUAGCACAGGUGGUAGAACUAGAAUUGGAGUUGGCCCAGGCCAUGGAGCUGGCCCUUGCUCUGGCUCUGGAGCUGGUGGGAGCUCUGGAGAUGGUCCUGGAGCAGCAUAAAGAAAAAGUAUCAUCAAGUAGAUGACCUCCCCUGAGUCUUUCCAAAGACAGGAAGGACCCCAAUGCCUUAAGGGAACCCAGCCCGUGAACCCCCUGCAAAUCGUCUUCCCACACUGCAGGGCCCUCACCUUCCAGCUCUGCCUCCACGGGCUCUGGAGGACUCCAGCUGGACUGGGAGGAGGGAGGCGUGGCCCUCCUGCUCUGAGGUAGGCGAGCUCACGUGCACACGGGCCAGCUUCAUCUGCGAAGAGACGGCAAUGGGGGAAGGCAUUGGGCAACAGAGUCAGAGGCCUGGUCUUUCCCUCCACACUGCCCACUGAAGGCGCCCUUAUUUGGUCUGGGCCCCUGUGCCCGCCCAUUCCCAUCCAGAGGAGAGCCCCGGCCCAGUCCCGCCCCUGUGUGGCUGUCCUGGUGGUGGCAGGACUGCUCAACCAGCAAGUUGAACACAGAGUCAGUGUGAGUCUGUUCUUCCCACUGACACUCUCUUCCUGAAGGGCUUGGACAAAGCCCACCCCAGCCCUCCAUGCAUUUAUGCAACUGGACUGAGGACUGAGGCAGACGUGUGACCAUGUUGCUCACACACCUCCUGUUCUGGGCCUGCUGGGGGUGGUCCGAAGAAGUGGAUGUGGAGAAGGGGAGGCAGAUCAAGAUAGGACUAUGGUGGGGAUGGGUCUCUAGGGGACAGCCCAGCCCAGCCUCCACUCUGGUUCCCAGGGGUCCUGGGACCCAUCUACAGGUCUUUGAAUCCUGACCUCCUGGAAUGGAAGCCAUCAGACCUCAGCCUUCCAGUGAGAAUCAAAACAUGUGUGAGAUGCAGGGUUUUGCCAGCCUGGCCCCAGCCACAGUCCCCCAUUUCCCCCAACCCUGUUCUGUAGAGACAGGGCGCCCUCCUUCUGGACCCAGAGGCCACUCAUUUUAUUCCGGCAUCCUGUGGUCUGCCCUCCUGGUUUUGAUAAUGGAAGAUGCCUCCAGAUGUAAAGGAGGUGACGAGAGCACCAUUUGGGAUGUGCGAUGGAUGACAGGACUUGCGAAUGAUGUCUAAUGUGACUAUUUGACUCUCAGACUACAACUGAGACGCAGGGAUUGUAUCUGUUGGACACCUGGAUUCACUGAGUUAUGCUAAGUGUCUCCAAAAAUCCUGCACAUAGUAGGUGCUUCACAUACAUGGUUGAAUGAAUGAAGUCCAGCCAGAAGCAUCCCAGAUGUCGGAGUGGGCCUGGGGCCCCUCUGCUCCCCAGACAUCCCUAAUUGGCCCCACCAAGCACAAGGACCAGGACCAUCUCUCUGGAAUCUCAAACUCCUUGACAGGGUGCUGUCCGUGUGCUUUGCCAAACUCAGAAAGACCACAUCCCAGAGACGGGUGAGACAGACUACUUUCCAUGAGGAAGAACCAAUAAUAACCAUGAACAACCACAGCUCACCCCACAGCCACAUCUGCAGAGCCAGGCACCAGGUCAGCACCCGCCAUGGCUGAUCCCAUUAGUCCCUCCAAGAACCCCAUGACGUUUAUCCUCUCCCACCCCACUUUUCAGAGGAGCAAAGUGAGGCUCAGGGAGAUGCAGUGACAUUACAAGAAUUACAGCUGGCAGUGGGCAGUCACCCAGUAAACAGCUGGUCCAGGACCUGGUGGGAUGUGUUGAAGGCCGAGUAGUUGAACACAAAGGUGGUGACAUUUGAGAUGUUUCUACCUAGGAAAGCUGGUGCCAUGGACUUUGUCAGUCUCCAUCAGGUCUGCUGGAGGGACCGCCACCUGCAGGCCUCAUUUAAAUUCACAAAGGGGUCAUCUUCACUCUGGGUGGAAGGAGGAGGGACACACAAAAAAUCAGUGGCAUCACCGUGAACCACUAGGAGGAUGGAGGUUACUUUCUUUCUGCCUAUGUAGCUGGUGGGGAGGAGGGGAGGUCGUGAUUCCUUUGGGAGUGGGACUGUGGGACACUCUAGUGAGAAAACACUGGGAGCAUCUCAGGGGAGUCUCAGAUUUGGGUCUGGAUUCUGGUACUGCCUCGGUCAUCUCAGGGUCCUGGGUGUGAAGACCCCUCUGCACUAAGCCCGGCCCGGGUCAUUGUUGGUGGCCUGGAGCACCCGCCCCCUGUCCAGGGAGACGGCAUAGUCGAAACCAUUCACUAACUAUGUGACCAUCUUGUGGGUGCAGCUCUGCAAACACAGUGCCUGGGAGAAAGACCAGGAGGGAUCAGGGGCCUGCCUGGACCUCACCAGGGGGAACCCGCACCACAGAUCAGGCUCAGAGGGGCACCUGCAUAGACCUCCAGCCAGGGCUGGAAUGUGAUGACACCUGGUGGGCUUGGGAUUCACAUAGGGAUAAAGGAGCUCGGUCCCCAGCACUCAACUUCCUACCCUGCCAGCCAAGAUGUGGGGUAUGAAGAUGACCCAUUGCCAGACUUCCAACAUCUCACUACCUGCUCCUACCCGGGAUGUGUCCCUCCUCAUCCCCACCUUUCCUAAGUGCACCUCCCAAACACACACACACACCUUGAGCAUCAAGGGGUGUGGGGCUGGCCAGGUGGGAGCACAGUUGUGACCUGACCUGGAGCGGCCUGCCCUGGGUUGCCCUGUGUUGCCUGAGGGUUCCUCCUGCCAAAAGGCCAGAGGUGUUAGAGGUGAGAGUUGAAUCAAUGUCUACAAAGGCUCUCGUCAGAUUUCUAGAAGCCAGAGCUUCGGAAAGUUGGGACACAACAUGCAAACAUCUUGUUCUCUUGAGUGCCUCCAUUCAAGUGAGCUGGAUGUGAGGCUGUGUCUAGAAUGUGGGUGCCUGGUAACCAAAGUUCUAAGUUCUGUUGGGGUCUGUCACCAAAGAAGUGAGGCCACUUCUCAAGGUUCCAUUAUCUGGGCCCCUUCCUUCAAUCAGACCCACCCAAAGCCUCCUCUGGGCUGUUGACUGCUCAUCGCCCUUGCCCAUGUCAUCUCCAUAAUUGUACACAAAUAUCCAUCACUGCCCUCCCCACAGCGCUCUGGGAAUGGGACCAGGGCCCUAGCUUUGAGGAGACACAGCUGAGUUCAGACCUCUUUUUUCCUACCAAUUCUGAGUCCUGGAAAAGCCAUUUGUGCCUCUCAUGGCCUCCCCAGUCUCCCAACCUGCACAGUGGAGAUGGUGCUAAAACCAAUUUCCUAGGCACAUCAUCAGGUGUGUAUGUGACAAUACCUAUAACUUCUGUGGGUUAGAGUCACAUGUGUCUGAUACAGAAACUUAGAGAUGGAAGAUGGAAGAUUGGGACAGUCACUGCCCCCCUGGGCCUCAUUUUCAGGUCUGCACUUUUCAGGGGUUGAAAUUAGAAGAAAUUCAUAUAUUGUGAUCCACUGGCAAAAGUUUCCCAUGGUCUCCUGUUUUACUUAGAAUCAGACCCAAGUGCCUCAUGUCGGCCUGUGUGUGGGGCAGCCUCCACAAUGGCUCCCAGUGCUCCCUGCCUCCUGGAGUGCACGUCCUUAUGUGACAGCUAAGUGGUUAGUAACUGGCUUCUGAUCAACAGAAUGCCCCAAGGUGAUGGGAUGUCACUUCCAAGUUUUAAUUACGAAGAGCCUGUCACUUCCUUCUUACAGGCAUUCUUGGGUUCCCUCCUCCUCUCCUGUUUGCAGCUCUCUCUCUGUCUUAUCUCUGGAACUGAGAGAGCAAGCACCGAUGCUUUCAGUUGCCCUGUGUAGAGGCUCCAUAGGAGAGAACUGAGGGGGUGCCCAGCCAACAGACAGGCAGGAACUCAGACUCUCAGUCCAGAUGAAUCCUGACAACACCCAUGUCAGCGAUCUUGGGUGGGAGUCCUCCCCCAGUUGAGCCCUGUUGAGACUGCAGCCCCUGCUUCAUAGAGAAUUUGAAGCUGAGGCACCCAGCUAAGCUCUGCCUGAUGCCUGGCCCACAGAAAGUGCAGGAUGUUAACUGUUUGUUCCUUAUGGGUGGAAGGUUUUGGAGCAAUGUUGUCAUAGAGGAACAGAAACUAACACAGUCCACCAUGUCCCACGAUCUGGCCCUCUCACCCUCCUCUCUCUUCUCAGGCUCCCUCCAGCCACACCUGCCACCUUUCUGACCUCCUCUGGUCAAACUCACUUCUUCCUGUGAAUCUCUGCACCAGGGGUACCUUCUCCCUGACAUGCUAACUGUUCCCAGAUAUAGGCAAGGGUGGCUUACACUUGUCAUUCUGGCUACAGCAAAUAAUCACCUCAGUGAGGCCUUUCAGAACCUCCCAGCACAGUCUCACAUCCAGAGGUGCAUGACAUUAUUUCUUUUGUCUUGAUCACAUUUAGAUAAAGUUGAGUCCAUGAGGAAGGGCUGUCUGCUUUGUCUGAAGCAGAUGCAAAUCCUGGUUACACCAGGCACCCAGGUUGAAACACCACCAGAUCCUGAAUUCAGUUACUGCUGAGAUCCUCCCAGCAAUUUGGUAAUUCAGUGGUUCUCCUGAGGUCACCUUUCCCCUGAGACCCAACUCCCAGCCAGCCCUUGGCUAAUUAGAUGAACAAUGAGAUUUUCUCAGAGUCCUCCCAGCCAGGACAAGAAAUGUUUUGAAAUGUUCUCUGUAUUAACUUUUAGGAAGUGGGGAUGCUGGCAGAAGUAAUUUGGGUGUGUAUGUACAAUAGUUUCUCUAUAGGUAUUAUUCAGACAAAAUAGUGUGGCUAUGGGAUAUAUCAAGAAAAUGGAUAAAUUGAUCCAAUUUUUUCAUGAUGUGAAGUCUUUAGAGAUUAAAUAUCAUGGUUAAGAGCAUAGAAUAUGAGCCGACAUCUUAUGUUCAAACUCCAACUCAAUCGCUUACUGGUUAUUUGUAUUGAUCAAGUUACUUACCUUGUUGGUACCUCAGUUUCUUCAUCUGUCAGUUGACAGUAAUGAUAAGCGUACCUACUUUGUAAGGCCAUGGGGAGUACUAAAGGAGUUAAUGUUUGAAAAAUGCCUGUAACACCUAGCAUUUACAGCACUGUAUCUAUAUAUUAUGAAUAAAAUUUAAAAAUUGUUUUGACACUGUAA